AACGAACGCUGGCGGCAUGCCUAACACAUGCAAGUCGAACGAGACCUUCGGGUCUAGUGGCGCACGGGUGCGUAACGCGUGGGAACCUGCACUUAGGUUCGGAAUAACUCCCCGUAAGGGGUGCUAAUACCGGAUAAUGUCUUCGGACCAAAGAUUUAUCGCCUUUGGAUGGGCCCGCGUUGGUUUAGCUGGUUGGUAGUGUAAAAGCCUACCAAGGCGACGAUCCAUAGCUGGUCUGAGAGGAUGAUCAGCCACACUGGGACUGCGACACGGCCCAGACUCCUACGGAAGGCAGCAGUGGGGAAUAUUGGACGAUGGGCGAAGGCCUGAUCCAGCAAUGCCGCGUGAGUGAUGAAGGCCUUAGGGUUGUAAAGCUCUUUUACCCGGGGUGAUAAUGACGGUACCGGGUGAAUAAGCUCCGGCUAACUCCGUG
rnacentral:rRNA from 1 species